CUUUUCUGAAGUCAAGAUUUAGCUAGCUAAUAGAAAGGAUGCAAGGACUUUCAAGCGCUUGUUGUCAGGGCUUUGCCAGUCUGAAAACUUGGAGCUGUGGAACUUUUCCUUAAGAACAAGCAUCUGGGGCUGUCACAGCCCUAACUGCUCCUCUGAACCCAGCUCCUUCUGAAUGCUGAGCAGGAAGGAUCUUCCACAGCUCCCAGAGCAGCUAAAAGGAAGUAAGGAAAUACUGUGGCUCUCCAAAGUUGAGCUGGUAUCAUAUUUUCUGGAUAUAUAAUAUUUUGGAUAAGGAAUUGCCUUCCUUUGGAUAUAAUGUCUGGAUAAGGUCUUCCAGAACUUAAAGAGAACUUGAGAAAAGAAGGGAGACCGACUUUUUACAGGGUCUGAUAGUGGUAGGACAAGGGGGA
rnacentral:lncRNA from 1 species